GUGGUUGUAGCUCAGUGGUAGAGCACUUGCCUGGCAUGUGUGAGGCAUUGGGUUCAAUUCCUAGCACCACA
rnacentral:tRNA from 1 species